UAAGCAAAUAGUGAAAGCGGGGGCUCAACCUCAUAUACAUUAUUUGAACUGCUAAGCUAGAGGAUGAGAGAGGUCGCUGGAAUUGCUAGUGUAGGAGUGAAAUCCGUAGAUAUUAGCAGGAACACCGAUGGCGUAGGCAGGCGACUGGCUCAUUCCUGACACUAAGGCACGAAAGCGUGGGAGCGAACAGGAUUAGAUACCCUGGUAGUCCACGCCGUAAACGAUGGAUGCUA
rnacentral:rRNA from 1 species